CCUUCCUGUCUCACUUUCUCUCUGUGAUUUCGAGGAUCACCAUCUAAGCAAAGUACAUGCACUUCGCUCCCUGCUUUCAGGGUUUGCUUCCUGGGGAAUCUCGCCUUGAGAUUGAAGAUCCUUGAAGGAUUGUUGUGAUAAAUGAAAAACACACUUCAAAGGCUUCAACAUGAUACUAGGUCUCAGGUCCGGGUGGCCUCUGGCCUCGGGUGAAGCCAUGGGCGCAGAAACGCACAAGAGUCUGGGAGUCUCAGAGCAUGGGAAGGCGCAGAAAGGAGCUUCCUGUACGCUCUCUGUCAGGCCAGAAUACAGAGGUGGGACCCCAUCAGUGGUUGGCGCCCAACCCCAGGAGGGCUCGAGCCAGACGGUGAGCAAACGUAUGCUUUUCUCUUCAAUCAGAGGCAUCUAUAUACAUAGGGAAUGUUAUAGCCCAUUGAAAAAUAAAUAAUCCCCCCAGGAAAUGCCCCCAUC
rnacentral:lncRNA from 1 species